AGAAUCAACGCUGGCGGCGUGCCUAACACAUGCAAGUCGAACGCGAAAGUGGAGCAAUCCAUGAGUAGAGUGGCAAACGGGUGAGUAACACGUGGGUGACCUGCCUUCGAGUGGGGGAUAACGUCCCGAAAGGGACGCUAAUACCGCAUGACAUCCUGCUCUUGGAAGAGCGGAGAUCAAAGCCGGGGAUCGCAAGACCUGGCGCUUGAAGAGGGGCCCGCGCCUGAUUAGCUAGUUGGUAGGGUAACGGCCUACCAAGGCAACGAUCAGUA
rnacentral:rRNA from 1 species